rfam:Oryza glumipatula chromosome 4, whole genome shotgun sequence.
AAUAAGUGCAACCAUGAGUUUCCGUGUCCAACUUUGAUCGUCCGUCUUAUUUUAAUUUUUUUAUAAUUAGUAUUUUUAUUGUUAUAAGAUUAUAAAACAUGAAUAAUACUUUAUGUGUGACUUAUGUUCUUUUUUUUCAAAAAAAAAUUUAAAUAAGACGGACUAUCAAAGUUGGACAUGGAAUCUCAUGGUUGCGCUUAUU